UACGUAGGAGACGAGCGUUGUCCGGAGUUACUGGGCGUAAAGGGUGCGCAGGCGGUCCGUUUUGUGGGGGGUGAAAUCUCCUGGCUCAACUGGGAGGGGGCCUUCCAAACGGGCGGACUUGAGGCGUGGAGAGGGACGUGGAAUUCCGGGUGGAGCGGUGAAAUGCGUAGAGAUCCGGAGGAACACCGACGGCGAAGGCAGCGUCCUGGCCACGACCUGACGCUCAGGCACGAAAGCUGGGGGAGCAAACAGG
rnacentral:rRNA from 1 species